CUACGGGAGGCAGCAGCAGGGAAUAUUGGGCAAUGGGCGAAAGCCUGACCCAGCGACGCCGCGUGUGUGAUGAAGGCCUUCGGGUCGUAAAGCACUUUUCUGGGAGAUGAGAAAGGACAGUAUCCCAGGAAUAAGUCUCGGCUAACUACGUGCCAGCAGCCGCGGUAAAACGUAGGAGGCGAGCGUUAUCCGGAUUCACUGGGCGUAAAGCGCGUGCAGGUGGCGCGGUAAGUUGGGCGUGAAAUCUCCCGGCUCAACUGGGAGAGGUCGUCCAAUACUACCGUGCUUGAGAGCAGAAGAGGAAGAUGGAAUUCCCGGUGUAGUGGUGAAAUGCGUAGAUAUCGGGAGGAACACCAGUGGCGAAGGCGGCUCUCUGGUCUGCAACUGACACUGAAGCGCGAAAGCUAGGGGAGCAAACGGGAUUAGAUACCCGGGUAGUCC
rnacentral:rRNA from 1 species